GAUGGAAGAGUGUACUGCCUUAAAACUAUUUAGUAAGGGGGGACCACCCCAUCAGCACAUGGAUAAAAGCAGGUGAGUGUGAAUUUGAUCAUAUGAUUUAUAGAAUUUGCAAUUGAAGCUUAUAUAAAGUGAAUUGCACUUUUGUGAAUAGGGCUGAGAUCAAGAAUUACUUCUUUAAUGUGUAACUCAUGUAAGGAAUUGUAAAAAGGAAUAAGGAUAGCCAGACUAUUAUGUAUAAUAUCUUAUAAUUCUUUCUGAUGUCUUUUAGGAAUACUAAUAAAUAUUCCUAGAAAUAAGAAGGGGUCCUCUCCAAUAACCAGCAGCUCUCAAGAAAAAUGCCCUCCCAGUCCUGAAGUCAGAGACUUCCUUCUCCUUCCCCGAGGCUGUUGGACAGAUGGAUGACACCAGCAAGAGGGACUAUGCCACAAAAAGUAGCCAGAUGUGAGAGUUGAACUGUGAAGAAGGCUGAGCGCUGAAGAAUUGAUGCUUUUGAACUGUGGUGUUGGAGAAGACUCUUGAGAGUCCCUUGGACUGCAAGGAGAUCCAACCAGUCCAUUCUGAAGAAGAUCAACCCUGGGAUUUCUUUGGAAGGACUGAUGCUAAAGCUGAAACUCCAGUACUUUGGCCACCUAAUGCGAAGAGUUGA
ensembl:lncRNA